rnacentral:rRNA from 1 species
CGUGCCAGCAGCCGCGGUAAUACGAAGGGGGCUAGCGUUGUUCGGAUUUACUGGGCGUAAAGGGUGCGUAGGCGGAUUGUUAAGUCAGGGGUGAAAUCCCGAGGCUCAACCUCGGAACUGCCUUUGAUACUGGCGAUCUUGAGUCUGGGAGAGGUGAGUGGAACUGCGAGUGUAGAGGUGAAAUUCGUAGAUAUUCGCAAGAACACCGGUGGCGAAGGCGGCUCACUGGCCCGGUACUGACGCUGAGGCACGAAAGCGUGGGGAGCAAACAGGAUUAGAUACCCUGGUAGUCCACGCCUUAAACGAUGA